rnacentral:rRNA from 1 species
UACGUAGGGAGCAAGCGUUGUUCGGAUUUACUGGGCGUAAAGGGCGCGUAGGCGGGAAGACAAGUCGGUCGUGAAAUCUCCGGGCCCAACCCGGAGGGGUCGGCCGAAACUGUUUUUCUUGAGGGAGGCAGAGGAGUCUGGAAUUCCCGGUGUAACGAUAAAAUAUAUAAAGAUCGGAAGGAACACCGGUGGCGAAGGCGGGACUCUGGGCCUACCCUGACGCUGAGGCGCGAAGGCGUGGGGAGCAAACGGG